GGGGUGAUGGCGGAAAUGGCAGACGCGGAUGACUUAAAAUCAUCUGUCUAAUGACAUGUGGGUUCGAGUCCCACUCACCCCA
rnacentral:tRNA from 1 species